CUCGUAGGCGGUUCGUCGCGUCCGGUGUGAAAGUCCAUCGCUUAACGGUGGAUCUGCGCCGGGUACGGGCGGGCUGGAGUGCGGUAGGGGAGACUGGAAUUCCCGGUGUAACGGUGGAAUGUGUAGAUAUCGGGAAGAACACCAAUGGCGAAGGCGGGUCUCUGGGCCGUUACUGACGCUGAGGAGCGAAAGCGUGGGGAGCGAACA
rnacentral:rRNA from 1 species